rnacentral:tRNA from 1 species
GCCGAGGUGGCGGAAUCCGGCUAACGCGCCAGACUCGAAAUCUGGUUCCACUUCCGUGGAGUAGGAGUUCAAAAGCAGUUCCAAAAUCCCCCCAAGGUUUCACCCCCUUUUCAAUGCUGGAGAGAGGGCAGAAACCAGCGAACAAAUCUCCUCCUCGGCG